rnacentral:tRNA from 1 species
GAGUUUCUGUAGUUGA